rnacentral:rRNA from 1 species
UACGUAGGUGGCAAGCGUUGUCCGGAUUUAUUGGGUUUAAAGGGUGCGUAGGCGGUCUUAUAAGUCAGUGCUGAAAUAUCCCGGCUUAACCGGGAGGGUGGCAUUGAUACUGUAGGACUUGAGUAGAGUUGAGGUUGGCGGAAUUGACGGUGUAGCGGUGAAAUGCGUAGAUAUCAUGAGGAACACCAGAGGCGAAGGCGGCUACCUGGACAGUUACUGACGCUCAGGCACGAAAGCGUGGGGAGCAAAAGGG